UACAGAGGUCUCAAGCGUUGUUCGGAUUCAUUGGGCGUAAAGGGUGCGUAGGCGGCGCGGUAAGUCGGGUGUGAAAUCUCGGGGCUUAACUCCGAAACUGCAUUCGAUACUACCGUGCUUGAGGACUGGAGAGGAGACUGGAAUUUACGGUGUAGCGGUGAAAUGCGUAGAUAUCAGGAGGAACACCGGUGGCGAAGGCGGGUCUCUGGGCCGAUACUGACGCUGAGGAGCGAAAGCGUGGGGAGCGAACAGG
rnacentral:rRNA from 1 species